rnacentral:tRNA from 1 species
GAAUUGAAAGCUAAUAUAUAAGCAUUGAUCUUGUAAAUCAAAGAUAGGAAUUUCCUCAAUUCU